UACAGAGGUGGCAAGCGUUGUUCGGAAUUACUGGGCGUAAAGGGCGCGUAGGCGGCCUGCUAAGUCGAACGUGAAAUCCCUGGGCUCAACCCAGGAACUGCGUCCGAUACUGGUUGGCUUGAAUCCGGGAGAGGGAUGUGGAAUUCCAGGUGUAGCGGUGAAAUGCGUAGAUAUCCGGAAGAACACCGGUGGCGAAGGCGGUCGACUGGGCCAGUACUGACGCUGAGGCGCGACAGCGUGGGGAGCAAACAGG
rnacentral:rRNA from 1 species